UUGUUACUUUUAUGUUUCACUUUUACAACGUAGUAGGCCCCUAAUGACCCCCAUCUAUGGUGCUUAUAGCAACUUAUAACGCCUAUUUAAUGGCCUGAUAACAGUCGAAUCGGGUGAAAAGCAAGAUGUCAUCAGCAUAGAGUGAGACCCUAUGCUCCGUGCUGCCUCUCCAAAUACCACCAGUAGACCAGUAAAGACGCCUUUACAGUAGUCAGGUCGGCUGAAGAUAAAUGCAUGGACUAGUUUUUCCAAAUCCUGCUGAUACAUCAGUCCUCUAAUUCUUGCUAUAUUUAACAAAACAAUAAGAUUCUCCUGAAAUAAGUCUUUGCAUUUCCUAGUAUUUAAGAUGCCCAGAUAGGCAGGUUGGUGAGGCCUAAGGUUCGUGCUUCAUUAAUGAGAAAGAGCUCGCUUUUGUUGAAAUUGAAUUUGUCUCCCGAAAAUCGAUCAAACUGACUGAGCGGAGGGAAGUGAGGUACUCAGGUUGGAGACAAAAAGCAAGAUGUCAUCAGCACAGAGUGAGACCCUAUGCUCCGCGUUGCCCCUCCAAAUACCAGAUAUGUUCUUGCAACUAUGGAAGGCUGUGGUAAGUGGUUCAAUGGUCAAAUUGAAAAGCAUGGGGCUAGGAGAGCACCCCUGGAAGGUUCAGACGUUUGAUUUUUGGUGGAUCCUUGUGUUUUUGAUGGGUCUGGUAGUUCUGUUUUUGUAGCUUUAUUUCUGUUAGGACUUCUUUUGUAAAGAGCCUCUCUGGGGGUCGUAACAGGAAUACACAAAUGUAAUUAUAGUCUACUUGUGCUCUAGAUGGGGAAGUAAUAUUAUAAGCAUUAACUUAAACAUUCACACAGUCAGCAAUUUUCUGCCAGCUGUCCUUCCUGCAUUAGAUGCAACUGUAUUUCUUCUAGCCUGGAUUAUGUGUUUAAUGUCUUUGUAUAUCUGUAUUAUUUUUGUUUGUUCGUUUGUAAAAUAUGUUGACAGAAGACCUACACUUUUUUGUUAUUGGUCAUAUGCAGCAAACACCGCCCAUUUUAUGUGAAUGCGCACUUAGCCAGAUUCAGAAAACCUGGGUUGAUUUACUGAGUUUAUAACCACCGUCAUAGGACGGCUGACUGUGGUUGUUAGAGUUAGUGAAGCCUGAUAACAAAAGGAUAUCCUGGGUAUGUUGAAAUUGUUUUGUAGUACAGGCCUCAGGAUCAUUACCCUCCGACCCCUCUGCUGGUCUGCCUGCCUCACCUGCUUGGUACCAUAACCCCGAGUCCAUCAGUUACUGAUCGUAACAAAAUCUUGAGAGGAUAACCAUGAGCUGAAAAGUGCUGACCAGUCUGAUGAUGCCAACUCGUGACAGGAGAGAUCAAAGACUGAACUAUGAGACGAUCCCAUCAGCUGCUGUCUCACUGUGAGAGAUGUCUGUGUGUUGGAUCCAAAUGAUCUCACCUCUCAUCAUCUGCACUGUUUCUCUGCUAUGUACUGCAGAUGAAGCAUUGACUACAGUCCAUCAGACCCCAGGCUUACUGGUGGAGAGGGGUCACUCUGCUCAGAUGGACUGCUGGCACAACAAAUAUAGCACUUGGUAUGACGCGUACUGGUUUCAGCAGUUACCAGGGGAGAGUAUGAAGCUGAUCGUCCACACGGUGCCUUUCAAGCAGCCUGACUUUGGGAACUUCAGCCAGGACAAAUACUCAGCCAACAAGACUGUGGAUGAGAGCGGAUCUUUCACAGUGAAACAUGUGGAACCAGGUGACAACGGAGUGUAUUUCUGUUUUGUUACAUUGGGACACAGUGAUGCAGAUACCUGUCAAGCUGCACCAAAACUACAUCAGAGUCAGGAGGGGUUUCAUAACUUCCUUUCAGAGAAGCUGGGUGACAUGUGCAUGUGGCUUCACAAUGUGGUGAUCGUGGUUUAUGUUAUGUUUCCCAUGCCUGCAACACUUUUGCAACCAAGGAAAAUAGUAUCACAAGAGUAACACAGUUUUAAUGUUAAAAGGAUCUUCUGUAUCUUUUCCUGUUGCUUUGCGGGUAAUGACUUCUGUUGAAAAGCAAUCAUCACACCAAUUUUUGAAGCUGGAGCACCAGGCCAAGUAGACAAUUAUAGACCCAUCUGUAUUCUACCUGCUUACUCAAAGGUCCUGGAAGAAGUCAUUGCAGAACAACUAACUGACCACCUCGAAACCAACAAACUCAUUCAUCCUACGCAAUUUGGCUUUUGGCAAGGGUAUUCAACAGAAAUGGCCAUCUGUUACCUCACUGAGAACAUCAAGAGCGCCCUUGACAAGGGUAAUGUGGUGGGAGCGGUGUUUCUAGACCUUAAAAAGGCUUUUGAUACCAUGAACCACUACAUACUCCUGAACAAACUUAGUGCCUUUAAUUUUUCAGAUCAAGCAACUACAUGCAUCAUAUCUCCAAUGAGCAAUGUGUAAAAAUAAAUGACAAAUAUUAAAUCCCCCAACAAUCCGUAAUGGGUAUUCCACAAGGCUCAAUCUUGGGACCGCUGCUUUUUCAGCUUAUAUAUAAAUGACUUGCCAUCAUGCUGCAAAACAGCUGGAUGUCAAAUGUACGCUGAUGACAGAGUCAUUUACUUGUCAGCUAAAACCCCCUGUGUAGCACCAGAGACACUAUCUAGUGAAAUGGAGGGUGUAUCACAAUGGGUCCAACAUAAUCAUCUAACCUUGAAUCUUAAGAAGACUUUGUCAAUGUGUUUCUCCAUUAAAAGGAGAGCACAUGAUAAGCUUACAAUCAAAACUGAAUUUGACAAACAUGUUAAAAAGUUAUGUAAGACAGUAAAGGUAAAUCUGAACUGUUUUAGAACGAUACGACAAUACAUACCCCUUAAAGCAGCUCAACUGUUUAUGCAUUCAAUGAUAUUUUCA